GAGUGUUCAGAGCACUCUUGGCUGUGAGAAGAUGAAGACUCUACCAGUGCGGCUUCUAGUGUGAGGUGACUGAAGAGGUAGCUGAAGCUUCCACAAGCACUCCAUGAAGAUGGCGAGUUCAGAAGGUGUUGCAAUGGAGUAAUGGUGCAGAUCAUGAAGCUAUCCAUCCAAGCUUGUUCCUGUGAGAGUCUCAAGCUUUAGGGGGAGUGUUGAAGCUUACAUGAUCUGAGAGUACUUGGUGGUUAUUCAAGAAGAGGAACAGAUC
rnacentral:lncRNA from 1 species